CAGUAAAAUAGUAACAGGACAGUGAUAGUGAAGAUAGAAGAAAAGUGUUUGCCCUAGCGGUCUCUUGGCGUUGUUUACAAGAACCGUGAUGGCGGACAGAAGGGUUCGGUGACCAGUGACACUCUUUCAAUUUCCUUCACUCCCAGAACUCAGAUAUUCAACAAGAAAGGGAAAAGAAGAGAGAGAGAGAGAGAGAGAGAGAGAGAGAGAGAGCAAGAGGCACACAGACAGACAGGCAGUGAGAGAGAGAGCAAGAGACAGACAGACAGAGAGAGAGAGAGAGAGAGCAAAAUGGAGGGUGAUCUGUGCCCCCUUUCUCUGUCACAGCCAGCAGCCACAGACCUGCCUGAUAUUGCUCAGUUUUUAUCUAUUUAUAUGUCUGAGGAAGAGACACUAGCUCUGCAGGAGGGACGAGUGAGCAGUGUGAUGAGCCACAGUGUAUUCACAGCCACAGAGCAGCCCACACAGCACACAGAAUUGACACCACAGCCAGCACUACCACCACCGCCACCGCCGCCACCACAACAGCAGCAGCAACAACAACAACAACAACAACAACAACAACAACGGGAUCAUGAUUUCAGUGUCAUGUCUCUGGUCUCUCACAGCCCCAAUGCAGGGUGAGUGCUGGCAGUCUGGCCAGGCGGCGGUGGUGGUGGUGGUGGCGGUGGUGACGCUACCCGGGGACAGGCAGCGUGGUGGUGGUUGGCCUGGUGUCUCUGGCCAGGUAGUGUGGGGCCUGGAGGAGGUGCAGGAGGCAGCCCGCCACUGCCCCACUGCUGAGGUGACUGUGGUGCAGUGUGGCGUGGUGCUGGCACGGCACUGCUGCACCACACCACACACCACACCACUGCCACCAUCAUUUAUUUAUUUAUUUAUUUUUGAGUAGACAAGCAAACACAUACACACACCCAUAAACACACACACACACACACACACACACACACA